AUUGAACGCUGGCGGCAGGCCUAACACAUGCAAGUCGAGCGGAUGAUGGGAGCUUGCUCCUGGAUUCAGCGGCGGACGGGUGAGUAAUGCCUAGGAAUCUGUCUGGUAGUGGGGGACAACGUUUCGAAAGGAACGCUAAUACCGCAUACGUACUACGGGAGAAAGCAGGGGACCUUCGGGCCUUGCGCUAUCCGAGGAACCUAGGUCGGAUUAGAUUGUUGGUGAGGUAAUGGCCGACCAAGGCGACGAUCCGUAACUGGUCUGAGAGGAUGAUCAGUCACACUGGAACUGAGACACGGUCCAGACUCCGACGGGAGGCAGCAGUGGGGAAUAUUGGACAAUGGGCGAAAGCCGGAUCCAGCCAUGCCGCGUGUGUGAUGAAGGUCUUCGGAUUGUAAAGCACUUUAAGUUGGGAGGAAGGGUUGUAGACUAAUACUCUGCAAUUUUGACGUUACCGACAGAAUAAGCACCGGCUAACUCUGUGCCAGCAGCCGCCGUAACAC
rnacentral:rRNA from 1 species